rnacentral:rRNA from 1 species
AUUGAACGCUGGCGGCAGGCCUAACACAUGCAAGUCGAGCGAGCGGCGGACGGGUGAGUAAUGUCUGGGAAACUGCCUGAUGGAGGGGGAUAACUACUGGAAACGGUAGCUAAUACCGCAUACCAUCAGAUGUGCCCAGAUGGGAUUAGCUAGUAGGUUGGGUAACGGCUCACCUAGGCGACGAUCCCUAGCUGGUCUGACAGGAUGACCAGCCACCCUGGAACGGAGACACGGUCCAGAUUCCUACGUGAGGCAGCAGUGGGGAAUAUUGCACAAUGGGCGCAAGCCUGAUACAUCCAUGCCGGGUGUGUGAAGAAGGCCUUCGGGUUGUAAAGCACUUUCAGCGGGGAGGCGUUACCCGCAGAAGAAGCACCGGCUAACUCCGUGCCAGCGGCCGCGGUAAUUG